rnacentral:tRNA from 1 species
GGGUAGGUGCCGGAGUGGCCAAUCGGAGCAGACUGUAAAUCUGCCGGGCUUUGCCCUACGGGGGUUCGAAUCCCUCCCUGCCCA